ACUCAAUUGUUCCGCAAGUAGUUAAUUUCCUAGUUCACUCAGGGGCACACGCGUAAACUCCUGUAGCCAUGUCUUUCGAAUUCGCCUUUCGUUGUCGUGUUGCCUCCAUUAUGGAAACAUUGACAGCAACAGCCUUGCAAGACAUCUGCCAACUUAUGGGCGAAACGUAUGCUGCUCUUCGAGUGGAAAUGGUGCAUGAACAAAAUCAAAGUUCGAGGACAAAAUUGCAGGCGAUGGAGAAUGGGACAGGGGUGGAGAAUCCAGCGAACUGCAUGGAGCGCAUUCAAAAACUCAGUGAGAUGAAAUAUCUAACGAUAGUUAUGCCUAUAUGCUAAUUGUCUGUAUAGGAAGUGGGGAAAGCUAUACAAUAGCUAGCUAUGUCGCCUAGUUAGCUAGCAGUCGCCUAUUUAUGAAAGUCCGAGAGCGCUAUUAUUCAUGACGUCGCCUGAUCCUUCAGCGCUACACUUGCCCGGCAGGUUUGAGAAACUUCCCAGUUGUCGAGCAAAUCCUAAAUGAACAAGAAGCCAAUGGUCUUUGGCUAGAAGGUGAUCCUACUGUGGAAGACGAAGGUCCACCAUCACUGGUACCAGAGGGAGAAGAGCCAGCACAGGCUCUUAGUCAGACAGACAUGGGGGUGGAGACAUGGCCUGCACCACCAGUCAUCAAACAGGAGGAAAUGGAUGAUGACAACAUGGAGUCUCAAGCGUACGACAAGUGGAUUCCAUUGACACACGGGGCCAAUCAGAAUAUCACAGGAGAAAGUGAUGAGGACGAGAGAAGUCAAGCCUCUGGGGGAUCCAGAGAACUUGGACUCGACGACUUCAAGACGGAACAGAGUCCAUUGCUAGUGUCAGCUGAGGAUGCUGCCGCACCCACAAAGAAGAAAUAUGAUAAAAGGUACACCUGUGAAAUAUGUGGAAAGACUGAGAACAAGAAAGCCAGAAUGACGAGUCACAUGCGAAAGCACACAGGGUUGCCCUUUAACUGCGAUAUCUGUGGCGAGAAAUUCCAGUGUCAGAAAUUAUUGACCAGACACAAGCGCUCCAAUCACUACACAGGGAUCAUCUACAGUUGCUCUGUAUGCGGAAAAACGUUCAUGCAGGUCACGUCUCGCGACACGCAUGAGCGUGGUCACACAGGAAAAAACUAUUGGUGCUCAGACUGUGGCGAGACGUUCAAGGAGCGCCAGGAGCGCGACACACAUGAGUGUAUUGUUUACAAGGGAGACCGGCCCUUCAGCUGCUCCGAGUGCAACAAGGACUUUGAAAGACAGUACCAUCUCAAAAAACACCAGCUGGAAAAACACCCUCUAAUGGUGGGCCAGACUGUUGAACCUGAGUCCAAGGACAUUGAGGACAAACAGAGUCAGUUGUUUGAGUCUGAGAGUUCUGAGGCACCCACUCGUUUCACCUGUGACAUAUGUGGAAUGACUAUUAUGAAUAAAGGCAACAUCAACAGACACAUGUUAACACACACAAAGAAGCCCUUUAGUUGCGAUAUCUGUGGUGAGAAUUUUAAGCGCAAAGCCCAAUUUACCCGACAUCAGGGAAAACAUGCGAGAGUUGAGAAAGUAGAAAAACCCUACAGUUGCACUGUGUGCGGAAUGACGUUUGUAUAUUCUAAAAUGCUUAUCAGCCAUGAGCGCGAACAUAUUGGAGAAGAUUGUUGUUCAGACUGUGGCAAGACGUUCAAGGAGCGCCAGGAACGCGACACGCACGAGUGCACUGUUUACAAAGGAGACCGGCCCUUCAGAUGCUCAGAGUGCAACAAGGACUUUGAAAGGCAGUACCAUCUCAAAAAACACCAGCUGGAAAAACACCCUCUAUUAGUGGACCAGACUGUCGACCCAGAACCUGAGUCCAAACACUUUGAGGACCAACAGAGUCAGUCGUUUGAGUCAGCGGAGAGUUCUGAGACUGAGGCACCCACGCGUUUCACCUGUGACAUAUGUGGUAUGAUUAUUAUAAAUAAAGGCAACAUCAACAGACACAUGUUAAUACACAAAAAGAAGCCCUUUAGUUGUGAUAUCUGUGGUGAGAAUUUUAAGCGCCACACCUGUUUAGCCAAACAUCAAGGAAAACACUCGAGUGUUGAGGAGAAAAUAGAACCAUACAGUUGCUCUGUGUGUGGAAUGAUGUUUGUAUAUCCUAAAAUGCGUGACAACCAUGAAUGCAAACACAUUGGAGAAGACUUCUGGUGCUCAGGAUGUGACAAGACGUUCAAGGAGCGAGGGGAUCGCGAUGUGCACAAGUGCAUUGUUUACAAGGGAGACCGACCCUUCAGAUGCGCAGAGUGCAAUGAGGACUUUCAAAGACAGUACCAUCUCAAAAGACACCAGCUGGAAAAACACCCUCUAAAAGGUGGACCAGCCACAUCCCAGUCAUGAUACUGUGAUGGUAGUACAGGGAGCACAGCCUUCAAAUGACAACGACCCUAAGGCCGAUAUGAGUACGGUAGGUGGAAAAGUUCCAGUAACAUAACCUGAGUUUAAGUUGACACAAGUGAAAUGGCUUCAACUGAAUUAAGUUGUUUUGUUAAGUACAAAAAGGAUAGACAUGAAAUUGAAUGAAGGGGUGUUGGAAAUAGUGUGUAGAACAGCGAUGGGAUUCAAUCCCACACAGGCGGGGGAAUCGCAUCUCCGCCUUUACUGCACAACUAACUUCAGGCACCUGGAUGAUGUUUGACAGCCAUCUUUAAUGCUCAUUUUGGGCCUAGAUUCGAUCUGGACUGUUACAGCGCGCUUCACGUUUUAAAUGAUGUUUCCGAUUGAGCCAAAAUAUGCAGCAUUUAACGUGAAUAGAUUAAUUCCCAAACCACCCCUUCGCCCCUACCAACUCACUCGGAGGGCCCUCCGUUGUCACAUGUUGCUGUCGAAACUCCCGAGGGUGCCUUCCAAAGAGGCGAGGCGAUCAAUAAACUGUCCACUUCGGGACACACUCGUGGGUAUACUGAUGAUUUGUCAGGACUGAUGGUUUGUUUACAUAGCAGGUUAGGAUAAUUAACGUAGUAGGUUAGGAAAAGGGUUAGAGUUAGGCUUAACUAAAAUGCUACAGUUGUCAACAACUAGAUGGUGCUGUAGGUCUACUCCGUCUGGCCACAAGCAUCUAAACCAUCAGCUAUGUCAGGGGUUUCCAAACGUUUUCCCUCAGACCCCCCACCCCCUCCAACAAUGGGGAACAUCCUGCACCCCACGUCUAUUUUCUAAGUAUAUUUCUCUGUUCACACUCUUGAUGGUGGGGAGAAUUUUGCAGGUUUAAAGCUCAUUUGUAUUAUUCUAUACAUUUAGCCAAAUCUGUGUGUUCAUGUGAUUUGAGUGACUCAAACAUUACAACAAUCUUGACAAAGGGUUGUAUUAGAGUUGUUAAUCAAAAUGGAAUUGAGAAAUAUUUCUUGUGACUCUGUGAUUUCAGUAACAGCAUUUAUUUUUUUAAGGUUUGUCAACUCGAUAUGUUCUUGCUUAUUGAGAGGAAUAAAAAUGUGUAAACACCUGUGAUAUCGUUUCGUUUAAUUAUUUGCAUGUACAAUUCAAAUACUGGAUCAGCUUGUCAAAUUGAGGAGGCAGAUAAACGAGUGUUUACGGUAUAUCACCGGUGCAACCUCGUUAGUUGUCCGGAACCAAACGGCCAUCAGUAAUUCAAACGCUCCAACAGUAACUUCACACGCUGCAAAAAUUAGCGCGGUUAGUGAAUUUUGUAGCCAUGUCUUUCGAACUAGCUUUUGGUUCUCGUGUUGCCUCCAUUAUGAAAACUUUGACAGAAAAAGCCGUGCAAGACAUCUGUCAACUUAUGGGAGAAACUUAUGCUGCUCUAAGAGUGGAAAUGUUGCAUGAACAAAACCAAAGAUCGAUAAAGUUACAGGCGAUUGAGAAUAACAUCCGGAAGGAGAAGCCAGCGAACUGCAUGGAGAUCAUUCAAAAACCAGCUUCCCCAACAGGUUUGAGAAACUUCCCCGUCGUGGAGCAAAUCCUCAAUGAACAAGAGGCCAAUAGUCUUUGGCUAGAAGCUGACCCUACUGUGGAAGAGGAAGGUCCACAGUCACUGGUACCAGAGGAAGAACAGCCAUCACAGGCUUUUGGUCAGAUGACAGACAAGGGGGUGGAGACAUGGCCUGCACCACCUGUCAUCAAACAGGAGGAAAUGGAUGAUGACAACAUGGACUCUCAAGGUUAUGGCAAGGAGAUUCCAGAGACUCACAAGGCCAACCAGAAUAUCACAGGAGAAAGUGAUGAGCCAGACAGAAGUCAAGCCUCUGGGGGAUCCAGAGAACUUGGACUCGACGACUUCAAGAGAGAACAGAGUCCGUCGCUGGUGUCAGCUGAGGAUGCUGCGGUACCCAUGAAGAAGAAAUGUAAUAAAAGGUACAGAUGUGAAAUAUGUGGAAAGACUGAGAGAAAAAAACGCAGAAUGACAAGUCACAUGAUAACACACACAGGGAUUCCCUUUAGCUGCGAUAUCUGUGGUGAGAAAUUCAAGUUUCAGAAUUAUUUGACCAGGCACCAGCGAUCCAAACACACAGUGAAAACCUACAGUUGCUCUGUGUGCGAAAAAGCCUUCCUGCAGGCCACAUCUCGCGACACACAUGAGCGUGGUCAUGCUGGAAAAAACUGUUGGUGCUCAGACUGUGGCGAGACGUUCAGGCAGCGCGGGGAUCGUAAUGCGCACGAGUGCUUUGAUUACAAAAGAGAAGGUCCCUUCAGCUGUUCCGAGUGCAGUGAAGCCUUUCAAAGGCAGUACCAUCUCAAAAGACACCAGCUGGAAAAACACCCUCUAAUGGUGGAGCAGAAUGUCAACCCAGAAAAUAGAGUUGAGGAGAAAAGCGAAAAACCUUGCAGUUGCUCUGUGUGUGGAAUGAUGUUUGUAUAUCCUAAAUCGCGUGACAGCCAUGAACGCCAACACAUUGGAGAAGACUACUGGUGCUCAGGAUGUGGCAAGACUUUCAAGGAGCGCCAGGAUCGCGAUACGCACGAGUGCAUUGUUUAUAAGGGAGACCGGGCCUUCAGAUGCUCAGAGUGCAAUGAGGACUUUGAAAGACAGUACCAUCUCAAAAGACACCAGCUGGAAAAACACCCUCUAAUGGUGGACCAGCCACAUCCCGGUCAUGAUACGUAAUAUUUUUUUUUCACCAUACAGAACGGACGCACACAAACAUCCACAACAUCACCAUGCCCAGACCUAACUGCUCACACCCCCAUCCUCAGCGCCUGCCUCAAACUGCACCAUUUUGUCUCUCUCCAUUGUUCAACAUUUAGAUGAUAAAGCAUUUGACCUUUCCAUUGUUAACGAUGGAGGAUCGGUUGAUUUACAGUUUAAGUAUUUACGUUAAGAUGAUUGACGAGAAAAGUAUCGUCCAACACAUUGGGUAUCUCCCUGCACCCUCGUAUUCCAUGGCUUGAAAUAUGCAGACAGAUGGAUUAAAAGUACAUUAAUUUACAUUGUAAUACUUCUGACAGCGAACUUUAUAACUCCGCCUGUAACUUUGACUUUAUAGCAUUCCCAGAAGGCAUGGAUUGUUAGUUUUACACUUAAGACAUGAUUUUGCUGUUGUGCUGUAGAAUUUGUGAAUUCAAUACAUUAGUUAAUAAUGGAUUAAGUGUACAUUUUUGUUAAUUGUAAUUUCAUUAUGUUCCAACAUUCCCUCCAAUUUGGGCUCUAUUGGCACAAAAGGGGAGCUGUCAUAAUUCCCAUAAAACCUAGGGGUCAAACAGGGAAAUGUUUGCAGUUAUUUUUUCCAUAAUUUUUCCCAUGGGGGAUUUUAGAAACACUUAAUAAGGGCUGUGUGUUGUGUAGGCUUACCCAGGUGGGACAUUUUGAUAACCAUGUAAUUCUCUCUCGGACAAGGUGACUUAUCAAUAUGGCUCUAUUUACUGAUUCUAAAAUGCUAAUUAGCAUCAAAGUAUACAUUAUGCAAAACUACAAAUCCCUGCACGUCAUCUCUAGCUGACACCUUUGUUAACAGGUAGUGUCAAUUUAAAACUUGCACAAGACGGUUAAUAGAAUUGUCAAUUUAAGAAAUAUUAUUCAUUACUACAUUUAGCUAACAUUAGAUAGUUAUUCUAGAGAUUAUUACCUUUGCCUUGAUUCGGCAGCCUUGUCCAGAUCAUCAUGGUAUUUGUAGUUUAUGAUACCCAUCAAUUUAGAACACACUGGUGACUUGAAUGAGGCAAUUCAUGUUCCACUUAAAUAAUAAAAUGAGCAUGAAAUUCAAAACAAAUCCCCCUGUUUUACAAGAUAUAAACCUCCGUAACAGUUACACAUUUUCAUUUGGAAAGUAUUACAUCUUUUACAUGUGUCAUGUCUCAAUCUGCCAUAAAUGCACAUGGCCUAUAAUCAGGCUCCUGCCAUUACUUUGUGUGAAAUUGCACCAAUUCAAUAACUCUGUGCCUUAUGUGAUUUCACUUCGCUCUGAAGCUGCCAGUGUUGCUGUAACGAAGUAUCUAAUUAAUUAGCAGGUUAGAAAGACUAAUGUAGCAGGUUAGGAGAAUGAGGUUAAGGUUAGGAAAAGGGAUAGUUAGGGACAACAGUUGCUGACAACUAGCUAAACCUAACGGGACAACUAGAUGGAGCUGUAGGCCUACUCCAUCUAGCCACAACCAUCAGCUUUGCAAACAAACCAUCAGUCCCGACAAACCAUCCAGUGAAGUCUGAGGGGAGGACGGCUCAUAAUAGCAUGUAAUUUGCUACGAUUCCACUCCAGCCAUUACCACGAGCCCAUCCUCCACAAUUAAGGUGCCACCAACCACCUGUGAAACCAUCAGUAUAACACCUGUCUUAAUUGAUUUUAGGGUGUAUUGUGUUACCUGCAAUUGUGUAUUCUUUUGAAUAUUGUAUUGCUUUAGCAAUAUUGGAUUGUCCCUUUUCAUAUAUAUAUAUAUUCUGAACAGCAAGGGUUGUGGAAGAACAGUUGAUCAAAAUGAAGGAAAUUUGAUUUUUCUUGACUCAUCAGGGGUUUCAGUAACAGUAUUUUUUUUUUCAAAGGUUUGUCAACCCAAUAUGUUCUUGCUUUCUGAGAGGAAUAAAGAUUUGUCAACCUGUUA